CGGUGUGAUCAUUUCAACGAUAAAGCAUCGGAUCCCAUCAGAACUCUGUAGUUAAGCGUGCUUGGGCCAGAGUAGUGCUAGGAUGGGUGACCUCCCGAGAAGCCCUAGUGUUACACCCU
rnacentral:rRNA from 1 species